GUGCUUGGUUGGGCAGCACAUACAUAAAAUUGGAACGAUACAGAGAUUAGCCCGGUCCCUGUACAAGGAUGACAUGCAAAUUUGUGAAACGUUCCAUAUUUUG